rnacentral:rRNA from 1 species
UCUACGGGGGGCAGCAGUGAGGAAUAUUGGUCAAUGGUCGGGAGACUGAACCAGCCAAGCCGCGUGAGGGAGGAAGGUACAGAGUAUCGUAAACCUCUUUUGUCGGGGAGCAAAGCGAGUCACGUGUGACUCAUUGAGAGUACCCGAAGAAAAAGCAUCGGCUAACUCCGUGCCAGCAGCCGCGGUAAUACGGAGGAUGCGAGCGUUAUCCGGAUUUAGUGGGUUUAAAGGGUGCGCAGGCGGAGGUGCAAGUCAGCGGUCAAAUUGCGGGGCUCAACCCCGUACUGCCGUUGAAACUGCAUCCCUUGAGUGCGCGAGAAGUAUGCGGAAUGCGUGGUGUAGCGGUGAAAUGCAUAGAUAUCACGCAGAACUCCGAUUGCGAAGGCAGCAUACCGGCGCGCAACUGACGCUCAUGCACGAAAGCGUGGGUAUCGAACAGGAUUAGAUACCCUAGUAGUC